AAUCAACGCUGGCGGCGUGCCUAACACAUGCAAGUCGAACGCGAAAGCCCCUUCGGGGGUAAGUAGAGUGGCGUCCGGGUGAGUAACACGUAGGUAAUCUACCUUCGGGCGGGGAAUAACCAGUCGAAAGAUUGGCUAAUACCGCAUAAUGCAGCGGCACCUAAUGGUGAUUAGUUGUUAAAGCGGGGGAUCGUAAGACCUCGCGCCUGAAGAGGAGCCUGCGGCAGAUUAGCUAGUUUGGGAGGUAAUGGCUCACCAAGGCUUCGAUCUGUAGCUGGUCUGAGAGGACGGCCAGCCACACUGGCACUGACACACGGGCCAGACUCCUACGGGAGGCAGCAGUGGGGAAUUUUGGGCAAUGGGCGAAAGCCUGACCCAGCAACGCCGCGCGAGGGAGGAAAUCCUCGGAUGUAAACCUCANAAGCAAGGGAAGAGAGCUCAGGGCCCGAAGUAAGCUUUGAGUCCGACGGUACCUUGCGUAACGCACCGGCUAACUACGUGCCAGCA
rnacentral:rRNA from 1 species